CUUAAAUUUCCAGGGUUGUUGGCGGAAUGUCUAAUAUUGAGACAGGAUGUGGCGUAACCAAGUUAAACGUGGUGUCGUUUCCAUAGAAACGAUGGCCGUUGCCAGGGAAGUGAGUGCUGUGUCAGUGUCAUGAUGAGCCAUUUUUACAUUGUAGCAUCAGCUCACAACAAUACAUUUUAAAAGAUUAAACAUUGACGUUAAACAACCAACAAAACUGUUUAGUUAGCCACAUUAUAGCAAGCUGACUGGCUAGCAACGUGGUAACACUAGCAAAAAUGCGGCCACAAAGACAACAGACCAACAACAAUACAGCCAUUAUAGGAAGGUGUCUUUCUCCCACGCUGGACGUCCGAUGGUCUAAAAACUUUACAAAAGAGAUAAACAUGGACACCAUGAAAAUGAAUCCACCAAGACAAGACAGCAGGCCUAAUGCACACAGUGGCUGUGGCAGGCCCUGUGCCCCUGUGCCAGCGUUUGUCAGUGAGUUUAUGGGCCCUGAGCGUCCCCUCCUACCUCCAGCUGUUGCUCUACCCAGUGGGCUGACUGGGGACCCGGGGCCACAGCCACACAGAGUGAAGCCUAGGAGAGCAACCCACAGUGCAGGGGCCAUCUACUCCCACAGUACCUCACCCUGCCAACUGGUGAGUGGUGAGUGGCCGACCCUCAGGAUCCUCCCCCUCUCUUCAGCAGUGCCAGCCCCCCUGAUUUUUUUCAUGGAUCAAAGGUAGUCUAAUGGAACAUUCUGCUCUGUGCUCAAGUUAAACAUUUCUGGACAUGCAAAUCCUGAAUAUUAUGAAAAAUGCUUUUCUGAACAAAUGUGUCUUUGUAACAAGACCAGGUGAUGCCAUAACAUUGAGUGAGAAUUCUCCCUCUGGUUUUCCAAUUGCCUUUCGUUCCUGUGAUGAUUGUGCUUUGAGUCCUGAGCGAAUAGAUUUGGACAGGUAGGCUAAAACACUCAUGGCUUUGUUUGUUCAGUGGUCUUUGUUGAGUUUCUCAGUACACUGUCAUGCAAUAGAAUGCUACAUUUGCAAUUGCUUGGAUUAACCAGUAGGGUGCAGCAAAGUCCCUUAUAAAGAUUAUCCUGCCCUCUGACAAGUGCAUGUCAACAUUGCAGGCAUAAAAGAAACACCUGAAACUAGAUCCUCUACAUACUGGUCUUGAUGAGAAGAAGAAAAACUGUCGGGGGAAGUUCUCUUCUGCACUAUUCAAGCAAUCCAGUAAAUUUGGAGGAGGAGUUAAGAUGGAGUGUGGCUGGGCACGUUCAGCAGGAUUGAACGUUUUAGAACAUUCAGAUAGAAAUAGGCUAUGUAGAUCAAACUUGCAUCUCUGAUAUGUAGAAUAAGGAAUCACAUCAGCUCUAUUCACGGCAUUUCUAUCUGCAACGUUCGAGAACAUUUGGCAACUGAACAAGUCCUGUCACAGGCUCUCUUUCCAAUUCCCCUGAAAACCGGAUCAUCCGUUUGUUGGGGACUCGGCAGAGACUAGUCAACAAUAAACCAUAUCCAUAGCCUCAUCCACUUAGAAUAAUGAGAUCUCCUGAACCCUGCGUGCUAGUGUUGGCAGACAGUGUGGUAUCAAGUGGCAUGUACCUUCUUUACUGUGAGCCCUCUCAUCUGCAUCAUAACAAGAUAAUACAGGGUCAUCCUCUCACAGAGUGGUGUUGUUGACAAUGCUUUUGUGUUUUGAGUGUCAGGCGUUGUCUGGAGGAGUGUCCCCUGCUGGAGGGCAUUGGUAGGCUGCGGCUGCUUAACUUUCAGCACAACCUCAUCACGCACAUUCACAAUCUGUCUCAUCUGCGGCACCUGGCCUUCCUAGACCUGUAUGACAACCACAUCUCCUAGAUGUCUGGCAUCUCAGCCCUGGCCUCUAUCAGAGUGCUUAUGCUGGGCAAGAACAGUCUUGUCCCAUUGCUGCAACUCCCAUACGGACUCGGGAAAGGCGAAGGUCGAGAGCCAUGCGUCCUCCGAAACACAACCC